UAUUAAAAUGUCAUCUAUUUGUUCUGUUAAAAAUUAGCGUGUUUGACGGAAUAACUAGAUAGCGACAUCUGGUGUGUCACGUGUAUAUCAAGCUGACGUACAAAAAUCAAUUUUUAACAGUAUAAAUGGAUAAAAUUUUUAACA
rfam:Gossypium raimondii Chr06_contig_482, whole genome shotgun sequence.